GUACGUAUUCUAAAUGGGCAUAUAUAUAUACCGGAUAUACACAGCAGCUGGCGUCAUUCAUUUCAAACUGAAGACUGGAAGAACAGCCUACAAUGAAGUAUCAACUGGUGAUUCUUUUACUUCUGGUGAUCGUCAGUGUGGCGAUAUGUCUGCCCUCAGACGCUGACCCGACGGACCCUGAUGUCGGCUCCAACUACUCACCGACUGAUUUGUCCGGCACAGUCCUCAAGAAGAAGAAGUUGAAGAAGCUUCUGUUCCUAGGCUA